CUUCUCAAAAAGAAUCUCCAGUGGCUCGUUAUAGAAAAGAGGAACCACACGAGCCCCAGCCGAUUCAACGAAUUUCACAUAAGACGCCGCAAUAUACGACGCAUUUGUCGAAUUAUUUAGCCUCCCGGAAGCACCAUCACCAGGAUGGCUCAAGAUUCCAAUCACUGGCCUAUAGUUCAGCUUGGGGUCCGGUACGGAGCACCUAGACACCGGNCCGGAGACGAUGCGUCUUUGUCGAGUUGACUCGGAAGAAGAAUAUUCGACUGAGCAGCUUUAGCUAAGCUAAGUUCUUUGGAGAGUGAAAUGAGUAUGGGAAACCAAAGAUAAUUCCACAUAUCUGGAAAUCUAGAAGCAGAGGAGGAGGAGGAUGUGGAAGGAAGCGAAACAGCGUCGUUGGAGAGGUCGGAGGAGGGGGUAGAAGGAGUAGAAGGGGAAUUAGAGAUUAAGUGGGAGGGCAUUUUAGGUAAAUGGAAAGAGAAAGAAGAAGCUAGGGUUUGGGAUCGUGAGGAAGCGAAAGAGAGAAGAAGACGACAUGUGCGAGAGAGUCAUGGUAUUUGACAUGAAAGGGAGAGAAAGGAGGUAGGGUGCCGGCUGGUCUAUUGCCGUACUGUAGAGGUG
rnacentral:misc_RNA from 1 species